rnacentral:rRNA from 1 species
GUUUGGGAAAACCAAAUAUAUUAUAUAUUUUGCUUUGUUCAAAAUAAGGUUUUCUAAUAAAUUAUGUUUUUAUCAGAUAUGACAGAAUCUUUUUUUAAAUCUCUUCAAUAUGCUUUUAUUGCUUUUGAGAGGUUUUGUUACUUUGAGUAAAAUUAAGUGUUCAUAACAGACGGGUAGUCAUGAUUGAGUUCAUUGUGUA